rnacentral:tRNA from 1 species
AGGAGUGUAGCUCAAUUGGCAGAGCACCGGUCUCCAAAACCGGCGGUUGGGGGUUCGAGUCCCUCCACUCCUG